UACACACCGCCCGUCACACCAUGGGAGUGGGUUCCACCAGAAGCCGGUCGCCUAACCGCAAGAGGGGCGCCGACCACGGUGAGAUUCAUGACUGGGGUG
rnacentral:rRNA from 1 species